ACGUAGGGGGCGAGCGUUGUCCGGAAUUACUGGGCGUAAAGGGAGCGUAGGCGGCCGAUUAAGUUGGAUGUGAAAUCCCCGGGCUUAACUUGGGUGGUGCAUCUGAAACUGGCAGGCUUGAGUACAGGAGAGGAAGGUGGAAUUCCUGGUGUAGAGGUGAAAUGCGUAGAUAUCAGGAGGAACACCGGUGGCGAAGGCGGCCUUCUGGACUGACACUGACGCUGAGGCGCGAAAGCGUGGGGAGCAAACAG
rnacentral:rRNA from 1 species